GAGACACCCUUAUGGGGCAGGACUUGAUUCAGUGGGAGCUUUGGUGGUCACUGAGUCUGCUUCUUGAGUGUGUCCCU
rnacentral:pre_miRNA from 1 species